GAAAGGCUGUACGGUUUUUGUGCGGCUGGGCGGACGGUUUUGCCGUAAGCCUCAAUUAGG
rfam:Firmicutes bacterium CAG:56 genomic scaffold, scf640